rnacentral:rRNA from 1 species
UACGUAGGGUGCAAGCGUUGUCCGGAAUUACUGGGCGUAAAGAGCUCGUAGGCGGUUUGUCGCGUCGUCUGUGAAAACUCGAGGCUCAACCUCGAGCUUGCAGGCGAUACGGGCAGACUUGAGUACUGCAGGGGAGACUGGAAUUCCUGGUGUAGCGGUGAAAUGCGCAGAUAUCAGGAGGAACACCGGUGGCGAAGGCGGGUCUCUGGGCCGUAACUGACGCUGAGGAGCGAAAGCAUGGGGAGCGAACAGG